rnacentral:rRNA from 1 species
CCUACGGGGGGCAGCAGUGGGGGAUAUUGCACAAUGGGGGGAACCCUGAUGCAGCGACGCCGCGUGGGCGAUGGAGUGCUUCGGCAUGUAAAGCCCUAUCAGCAGGGAAGAAAAUGACGGUACCUGACUAAGAAGCCCCGGCUAACUACGUGCCAGCAGCCGCGGUAAUACGUAGGGGGCAAGCGUUAUCCAGAUUUACUGGGGGUAAAGGGAGCGUAGACGGAGGAGCAAGUCUGAUGUGAAAAUCCGGGGCCCAACCCCGGAACUGCAUUGGAAACUGUUUAUCCAGAGUGUCG